ACAUAGUCAUACAGCAAAUGUUGUGUUUUGAGCCAAUGUUAACUGUAAGACUGUGUCU
rnacentral:pre_miRNA from 1 species